rnacentral:tRNA from 1 species
GCCUGGGUGGCUCAGUCGGUUGAGCGUCUGACUUCGGCUCAGGUCGUGAUCUCACAGCUUGUGGGUUCGAGCCCUGCCUGGGGCU